rnacentral:lncRNA from 1 species
CUCGGGCUGAUGUCUCCUACCCACAGGUCUUCCUACAGAAACACCUACAGUGCACACGUAAGACUCAUGAUUCUCCCUGACUCCAGACACAGAAACAUGAUAAAACUUCCUGCCCAUGUCCAGAGUGGAUGGACUAAUGCACAGAAAAGGGGGCACACCAACCGCACAGACAGUUCUGAAGAGAAGGACAGAUAACCAGUAAAGGAACCCAGCAUCUCCAGGGACCAGGGAAUUGCAAAUGGAAAGUCCGCAGAGGUUCCAUUUCACCCUGGCCAGAACGGCCACCAGCAAGAAACCGGACCAAACCAUGAAUGCUAAUGAGGAUUUGAGGGGGAAAGAGCACAUAUAUGCUGAUCGUGGAUUAAUGUCUUGCCGAAGAGCUGGCUGCCUGGUGGCUCAGUCAUGUUGACAUAAAAUGAGCCAACCUUUGACUGGAUCCUCUGUGCUCUCUUCUGUCAUUUUAUAGCACCCUGUGACUCUUAAAAAGUGAACGUUCUUUUUUGCUCUGGGAAGUUCUUUCUCCUGUUACAGUCUCCCAACUCAAGAUUUUAAAUAGAAAUCAACACAGGCUUCUCCUGUUUGUUUUCUGCCAUCUACCCUUUUCCCCACAAGACGACACAUGCUCCCAAGAAGCUUCCUUCAUUUCGAAUGUUCAAA